GACGAACGCCGGCGGCGCGCUUAACACAUGCAAGUCGAGCGAGAACCAGGGCUUCGGCCCUGGGGACAGCGGCGAACGGGUGAGUAACACGUGGGUAAUCUGCCCUCGGCACCGGAAUAGCCCGGGGAAACCCGGAUUAAUGCCGGAUGGCCCCUUCACCUCGCGAGGUGUCGGGAAAAGGUAGCUUCGGCCUCUGGCCGAGGAUGAGCCCGCGGCGGAUUAGCUUGUUGGCGGGGUAACGGCCCACCAAGGCGACGAUCCGUAGCUGGUCUGAGAGGACGAUCAGCCACACUGGGACAGAGACACGGCCCAGACUCCUACGGGAGGCAGCAGUGGGGAAUCUUGCGCAAUGGGCGAAAGCCUGACGCAGCGACGCCGCGUGAGGGAAGAAGGCCUUCGGGUUGUAAACCUCUUUCAGGAGGGACGAAGCUACUCGGGUGAAUAGCCCAGAGGGUGACGGUACCUCCAGAAGAAGCCCCGGCUAACUACGUGCCAGCCGCCGCGGUAA
rnacentral:rRNA from 1 species